UCGCUGCGACUCGUCACGUGAUAAUAACGCAUCAUUCACUCAUUCAUCCAUUCGUUCAAAUGCCGCCCCUUUCGUUCGGGAGUAUUCGUCAAGCAUUAUUUUUUUGAACAUUUUUUUUUGUACGAUUAUUUUUUUACAGGCAUAUCCAGCAAAUUGAAAUUUGACCUCAGAUUGUCACAGCCAAUAAAUUCAGAAACGGGAGAAAAAAAAAUAAUUUUGAAUUCAAACAAGCUAAAAAAAA